AAAUUUAUAAUAAAAUUAUUAUAUUAAAUUGCAAAUUUAAUCUAUUUAUUUAAAUUUU
rnacentral:tRNA from 1 species